UACAGAGGGUGCGAGCGUUGUCCGGAAUCACUGGGCGUAAAGGGCGCGUAGGUGGCGACCCAAGUCUGUGGUGAAAGCUCGCCGCUUAACGGCGAGUCGGCCACGGAUACUGGGUGGCUCGAGCACUGUAGGGGCAGAUGGAAUUCCGGGUGUAGCGGUGGAAUGCGUAGAGAUCCGGAAGAACACCGGUGGCGAAGGCGGCUCGCUGGGCAGUGGCUGACGCUGAGGAGCGAAAGCCAGGGGAGCAAACGGG
rnacentral:rRNA from 1 species